GCCAGCAUGGUGUAGUGGUUUGCGUGUUGGACUACAACUCUGGAGACCGGGGUUCAGUUCCCCACUCGGCCA